CCUACGGGAGGCUGCAGUAGGGAAUUUUCGGCAAUGGGGGGAACCCUGACCGAGCAACGCCGCGUGAACGAAGAAGUUAUUCGUAAUGUAAAGUUCUUUUAACAGGGAAGAAAGAGAAAUUUGACGGUACCUGAAGAAUACGCUCCGGCAAACUACGUGCCAGCAGCCGCGUUAAUACGUAGGGAGCGGGCUUUAUCCGGAAUUAUUGGGCGUAAAGGGGGCGUAGAGGGCAUAGUAAGGCUUCGGGAAGAAUGCUGGGCUAACCCCAGUAGGGCAAAAGAUACUGCAAAGCUAGAGUAUGACAGGGGCAAGUGGAACUACAUGUGUAGCGGUAAAAUGCGUAGAUAUAUGUAGGAACACCAGUGGCGAAGGCGGCUUGCUGGGUCGAUACUGACAUUGAGGCACGAAAGCGUGGGGAGCAAACAGGAUUAGAUACCCGUGUAGUC
rnacentral:rRNA from 1 species